AUUUCUUCAGUAUAAGUGUACAUUUGCCUUCCAAGCAAAAAGAUUAAUAAAAUAAAAGAAAUAA
rnacentral:tRNA from 1 species